rnacentral:sRNA from 1 species
GCUGGGCAUGGUGGCACAUGCCUGUAAUCCCAGCUACUUGGGAGGCUGAGGCAGUAGCAUCACAAGUUUGAGACCAGUCUCAG